AAGUCGUAACAAGGUAACCGUAGGUGAACCUGCGGUUGGAUCAUUACAAAAUGAUAUAUUUCUAGGUUUGUAGUCUACUUUUUCAAAGGUGUGAUUCGCCUAGAAAUAUCAAUUCACCCAAUGUGCACUGUUUCUGUUUUUCGGGUGAUUUUUGAAUUUUACAGUACUUUUUUGAAAUUUACAGUAAAAAGAGGAAAUUGCCCGGCAGUUUUAUAAACCCAACCAUAUUAUUUGUCUGAUAAUUUCUGAAAAUGAAAUGAUAAACAACUUUUGACAACGGAUCUCUUGGCUCUC
rnacentral:misc_RNA from 1 species